rnacentral:sRNA from 1 species
GCGAGACUGGGGCCGUGGCUGCUGGUCCCGGGUGAUGCUAGGCGGCUCCCUGGGCUCCAGGCUGUUGCGGGGUGUAGGUGGGAGUCGCGGACGGUUCGGGGCGCGAGGUGUCCGUGAAGGUGGCGCAGCCAUGGCGGCAGGGGAGAGCAUGGCUCAGCGGAUGGUCUGGGUGGACCUGGAGAUGACAGGAUUGGACAUUGAGAAGGACCAGAUUAUUGAGAUGGCCUGUCUGAUAACUGACUCUGAUCUCAACAUUUUGGCUGAAGUACGUGAUGCCAUGUAAUACAGUCAUACUUUUUAAAGGGCACUGGAAAUAUAACCAUCAUUUUUUCCAGCUUCUUUAUUUAAAAAAUAAGAAAGUUGAGGUCUAUAUGGGUUAAGGUAAUGUGCUAGGUAAUGGUAGGGGUGCUACUAGAACCAAAGUAAUCCAUCUCACAGCCUAGUGAAAAUUAAAAAUUAAACAUUAUUUUUUAAUUAACCAUGCCAGAAAUUUACAGAAACAUAAAUUCUGUCGUUUACUGAGAGCUUACUGUAUGCCAGGUACAGUUUCUG